GGAGGAAUGUUUAGACGCGUCUGUGUAAAUAUGAUGGUAAUCAACCCAAACAGUAUUUUUAAGAAGAUUAAACGAAAAAUUUGUACUAAUAUCGUGCUUAUUUAAAUCUGAGUUAAAAUUAAUUUCUGGAAGCAACAUUAAUGCUUCAAAGCUAGUACUGAAAAGAGGAUAAUUAAUGGAUCGAUGAAUAGGAGCUUUUAUGUUGAUAAAUUUCUUAAAACUAUUGAUUAGACAAGGUGGUUUUUUAUUUGACCAAUAUGCAGAUGAAUCUAUAUAAUGAGAAAGUUUCUGAAGUUUGUUAUAAAGAGAGUGGUUAAGAAACUGAAAAGAUCGGAAUAUAAAUUUGUCUGCUAAAUAUUGACGACGUAGAUGUAGUGGAGGAUCACCACAUUCUACUUGAAGAGCAUUGAUAGGACUUGACCGCAUAGCACCAGAAACUACUCGUAAAGCUUUGGACUGUAUGAGAUCUAGUUUUUUAAAUGCCUUAACACUACCAGGCUCCAGCAAGAAUGUACCAUAAUCUAAUAUACUUCUUAUAAGAGCAUUAUAUAACAAUUUCAUGCAAAAAGGGUGCGCACCCCACCAAACACCUGACAGACAUCUUAAAAUAUUAAGAGUACGCUCACAUUUAGCAUUUAGGUAAUCACAAUGUGGGAUACCAGUUAGUUUCGAAUCUAAGACAAUUCCCAAAAACUUAACAUUAUCUUUAACUGGAAUCUGAUAACCCUCAUAAAAUAUAGAAAUAGGAGGAGGAGUUCUUGAUCUCGUGAAUAAAACUAUUGUACUUUUUUCAGGUGAUAGAUCAAGGCCAUUUAAGUCCAACCAAGUUUUUAAAUUUAUCAGCGGUUGUGUUAUAGAAGAACUAGCUUUUUCAAUAGAAAUAUCACGACAGUAAAUUAAUAGAUCAUCAGCAUACUGAAGAACAUUUACACAAUUAAGUGAUGAUUUUAAAUCGUGUGUAUAAAUAUUAUACAAUAUUGGGCUAAGUACUGAUCCCUGGGGGAGGCCCUUUGAAACAAGUCGAGGUAACCAAUUAUUAAGUCUUCAGGAACGAAAGGUGGAGCCAAUUUAUCUAAAAAGCUAUUAACUAAAUGAAAAGGGAUUGAUUUUGGAGAUGAAUCUUUGUAUGCAGAUCUAAACCUUCUUAUAUUUUGCCAUACAAGAGAUGGUUUGACAUCAGCAUAUUUUCUUCUCUUUACUGCCUCAGUACAUUCGUUAUCCCACCAAGGAGGAGAAGGAAUAAAACCCAAAGAGCUAUUUUUACUUGGAAAUAUCUCAUUGGCAACCUCAAUAAAGAUUCUUGCUAAAGAAUCUGCACACUGAGAUUCUGUACCUGGAUUAAUUUUUGGAAGUGUAAUAAUUUUGUUUUUUAUUAGAUCUUUAUAUAAAUCCCAAUCAACAUCAUUAAGCUUAUAUUUUAA